UACGAAGGGGGCGAGCGUUGUUCGGGUUUACUGGGCGUAAAGGGCGCGCAGGCGGCGGAUCAAGUCAGACGUGAAAGCCCCGGGCUUAACCUGGGAACUGCGUUUGGGACUGAUUUGCUAGAGAUCGGGAGAGGAGAGUGGAAUUCCCAGUGUAGAGGUGAAAUUCGUAGAUAUUCGCAAGAACACCAGUGGCGAAGGCGGCUCACUGGCCCGGUACUGACGCUGAGGUGCGAAAGCGUGGGGAGCAAACAGG
rnacentral:rRNA from 1 species